rnacentral:rRNA from 1 species
UACGUAGGUCCCGAGCGUUGCCCGGAUUUAUUGGGCGUAAAGCGAGCGCAGGUGGUUUAUUAAGUCUGGUGUAAAAGGCAGUGGCUCAACCAUUGUAUGCAUUGGAAACUGGUUGACUUGAGUGCAGGAGAGGAGAGUGGAAUUCCAUGUGUAGCGGUGAAAUGCGUAGAUAUAUGGAGGAACACCGGUGGCGAAAGCGGCUCUCUGGCCUGUAACUGACACUGAGGCUCGAAAGCGUGGGGAGCAAACAGG